rnacentral:rRNA from 1 species
UGAAAAUAUAAAUUAUUUAAAACUUUCAACAACGGAUCCCUUGGUUCCGGCAUCUAUGAAGAACGCAGUGAAAUGCGAUACGCAAUGUGAAUUGCAAAUUCAGUGAAUCAUCGAGUCUUUGAACGCACAUUGCGCCCCCUGGUAUUCUGGGGGGCA